AGAUCGACCGUGUUCCAUUCGCUCCGCUGACUUCGAAUAAUAGAUGGUUGAUCUUU
rnacentral:pre_miRNA from 1 species